UACGGAGGGUGCAAGCGUUGUUCGGAAUUACUGGGCGUAAAGCGCGUGUAGGUGGCUUGUUAUGCCAGGUGUGAAAGCCCUCGGCCUAACCGAGGAAGUGCGCCUGAAACUGCCAAGCUUGAGAACGAGAGACGAGGACGGAAUUCCCAGUGUAGAGGUGAAAUUCGUAGAUAUUGGGAGGCACACCGGUGGCGAAAGCGGUUCUCUGGAUCGAUACUGACGCUAAGACGCGAAAGCGUGGGGAGCAAACAGG
rnacentral:rRNA from 1 species